AUGGAGGUGGUUAGACGUGUAGAUUCUGGAUUGGUUGGUUUGUAUUUGAAAAGUGUGUCCAAGGAGGACGACUAUUCCUCGGGAGGGCAGAUGAUGAAGGAAGGCAGGAGGUCAAGGCAAGGAGACUUAGGACGUGGGCAGAAUAUCGAGUCGUCUGGAACAAAGUGUGUCCAGCACAGGAGUGCAGGGCAGAUGUUAAAGCAUCAAGUUGGAGGAGCUGGAAGCAUGGCAAAAGUCCCAGCUGGCGUGUUGGCUCAUUCUCCGGAGUCACCGGGGUGCAGAGUUCUCCCCUCUUGGUCUGUCACCCGAGGGGCGCCGUCCCCAUCUGUAAGUUCCAGGAUGGCCAUGUCCAAAGUCCAGACAUCAGGAGGUGGGAGAAGAGGAAGGGGAGGGCGCACUGCCCCCCUUUUAAGGGCAGUUCACAUCCCAUUGGCCAGAACUUAGUCCCAUGUGGUCAUUAUCCUGGCAGCCCUGUGCCCAGUUAAAAAUCCAGGCUCUGUUCCUAUAGAAUUGGUGUCUCAAUCUCAGCACAACUGACAUUUUGAGGCAAAUAAUUCUGUGUUGUGAGGGCUGUCCUGUGCAUUAUAGGAUGGUCAGCAAUGUCUCUGAACUUUACCCACUAGAAGCCAGGACUACCCCUCCUCCAAGUCAUCAUGACCCAAAACCUCAGUCAUUGCUUAGUGUCCCCUUGGAGACAAAACGGUCCCUGCUGGAGAGCCACAGCUGUAGAAAAAAGAGACAGCAGAUGCUGGGGGGAAGUUAGUCAUCUCUGCCAUAUACUAGUCAAUGGUUUUCAUUUAUUUCCUCCUCACAGACAGAAGGUGGUAGUUAAGAGGCAAGUGGACCUGAAUUCAAAUUCUACCUGUGAGACGAUGGACCUCAGCUUUCUCAUGAGGAAAGACUGGCUAGGGGCUGGAUGUAUCAAAAUGAGAUGAUAAAUAGCAAAUGCUCAGCAUGAUGCCUGGCACAUAAUAUAUACUCAAAAAUACUGAUGAUGUACAGGCUGAUUUUGUUUAGAUGAUGGUGGAGGAGGUCAGAUGAACUUUUCUGCUGGCAGAAGAUGUGAGGGUUGUAGGAAGUUGUAAAAGAUGAAGGGUGCUGGUGGUGAUCACGCCUUGCUGGGGAAUGAAAGGAUAGUGAAGAACCUAGGGAUGGUCAGAAUGGGGACAGCAAGGUCAUAAACACUUUCUUAUAUAAAAGAGAACUGGGAGUAGGUCCCCGAGUUCCACACUAGUGUUUCCUUCUGUCUUUUCAGUGUGACUCUGGGUAAUGAUGGUGCAGAUACUGGGUCUAUACUGGUUCUAGGCUGAUUAGUCUCCGGUCCCCGAGUUCCACACUAGUGUUUCCUUCUCUGUCUUUUCAAUGUGACUCUGGGUAAUGAUAGUGCAGAUACUGGUUCUAUACUGGUUCUAGGCUGAUUAGUCUCCUGCAUGUAGCCUUGACUGACCUUCUGUAUCAGGGUGAGAGUCAGCUGCACAAAACAGCAAAUCCAAUUCAUGGUGGCUAACAAAGACAAUGCUUCCCUGAUGGCUCAGCUGGUAAAGAACCUGUCUGCAAUGUAGGAGAACUGGGUUGGAUCCCUGGGUCAGGAAGAUCCCUUGGAAAAGGAAAUGGCAACCCACUCCAGUAUUCUUGCCUGGGAAAUCUCAUGGACAGAGAAGCCUGGCAGGCUACAGUCCACGGUGUCCCAAGAGUUGGACACAACUUAGCAACUAAACCACCACCACAAAGAUAAAGCCCUGGGGACUUCCCUGGUAGUGCAGUGGUUGAGAAUUCGCCUUUCAAUGCAGGGGACAUGUGUUCGAUCCCUGGCUGGGGAUCCCACCUGCUGUGGGGCAACUGAGCUGAGGUGCUGCAACUACUGAGCCCUCGCACCUCAACUAGAGAGCCCACAUGCUCUAAAGCCCGUGCACCACAACCAGAGAGAAGCCUGUGGGCUGCAACGAAAGAUCCUGAGUGCUGCAGCUAGACUCGACACAGCCAAAUUAAUUAAUUAACUUAAAAAAGGAUAGAGCAUCAUCUCUCACAUGAAAAAACUCUGGAGGCAGGUGUCCAAGGUCGGUAUGACACCUUGGCAAUGUCAGCAGAGAUUCAGGUUCCUUUGGCUUUCUGCCCCACCAUCGUUAGCAUGGGCCUUUCAAUCUCAAGGUUGUCUCACGGUCACAGGGAUCCUCUCCUCUCCAUGUGCCAAUUAGCAGAAAGGAGGAAAGAGACAAGAGCAAAAGCAUGACCUUCAUCUGAGUCAGACUCCCUUUUAGGGAGUCUUACCAGAAAUGCUAUCUAACAACUUCUCAUUGGCCGGCAUUCUCUCUAAAAGGGAGUCCAGGAAAUGUAAUUUAGCUGGGCGUGUCACCUCUCCCAACAUAAUCAGUUUUUUCUUUAGAAGGAACAGGGGGGUGAAAUGAUAUUGGGUAGGCAAUCAGAACUUCCUGCUUCAGCUUCCAAGAUGGGAGUCAGUGAGUGACUGGAGGAGAGGGUAAUGGAAAGGGAGAAUGAGAGAAAGAGAGAAAAAGAAGAGAGAGAAAAUAAUCGCUGU
rnacentral:lncRNA from 1 species